CAGCUAGUUGGUGAGGUAACGGCUCACCAAGGCAACGAUCAGUAUCCGGCCUGAGAGGGCGGACGGACACACUGGGACUGAGACACGGCCCAGACUCCUACGGGAGGCAGCAGUGGGGAAUUGUUCGCAAUGGGCGCAAGCCUGACGACGCAACGCCGCGUGGAGGAUGAAGAUUUUCGGAUCGUAAACUCCUGUCGAACGGGACGAAAAGGUCGCGGGUUAACAACCCGUGAUCCUGACGGUACCGUUAAAGGAAACCCCGGCUAACUCCGUGCCAGCAGCCGCGGUAAUACGGGGGGGGUAAGCGUUGUUCGGAAUUACUGGGCGUAAAGGGCUCGUAGGCGGCCAACUAAGUCAGACGUGAAAUCCCUCAGCUUAACUGGGGAACUGCGUCUGAUACUGGAUGGCUUGGAUUCGGGAGAGGAAUGCGGAAUUCCAGGUGUAGCGGUGAAAUGCGUAGAUAUCUGGAGGAACACCGGUGGCGAAGGCGGCAUUCUGGACCGACAUUGACGCUGAGGAGCGAAAGCCAGGGGAGCAAACGGGAUUAGAUACCCCGGUAGUCCUGGCCCUAAACGAUGAAUGCUUGGUGUGGCGGG
rnacentral:rRNA from 1 species